rnacentral:lncRNA from 1 species
CUGAAUUCAAAUAAAGUGGUAUAACACUAUACCUGGAACAACCUCAUUUUAAUUUCCACUUGGUUAGACAACAUGCUCUUAGACUUGCACCUUACAGUUCUCUUUUAUUAUAGCUCAAAUCUCACGAUGAGCAGAGAGAUCAUGCUGCUCAUCAGAUAGAGCUGCUCUAAUAUCAUCCCAGCUCUGGAGAUGUCUCGCAUUAACACUUCACAAGACUCAUCAGUUUCUGCUAUCUAGUUCAACUCAGGAACAAAAAGAUAUACCAUUUCUUUUAGUUCAUAUUUAAUAAAUUUACUGUAAAACUCACUGUCUAAAAGAAUGCAGAAAUUAUAUCAUGUGCUUAUAAUUCCUGGAAAACUUUUUUUUAAAAUCAGCAUCAUAUACUUCAAGUUACAGAUGGAGAAUAAAUGGAGUCUGGGAUGCGACAGGAGCAUUUGCAGCUGCUUUUUCUCAAAAGCAACAUUUUCUGAAAUUUUUCUGAUUUUCUAAAUUGUUGUGAUCACACAGUUUUCAGGUUAUUACUCCUGCAUCUCCACAUCAUCUGCUCCUAUCUCUUUGGAACAGCCUUAGCAUUCUUUCUCUUUGCCUGGGUCUUGGGGUAGAGAAGUUUCCACAAAGAGGACAGAAGUUCUUAGCCAAAAGCAAUUCAACAUCCUGGCUUGUCAGCAGUGGGAAAAAAUCCUGAGGGUGGAAGAACUUCAAGCAUUUACUGGGACUCCUGUCUGUCCAUCUGCAAUUCCCUUCCUAGUGUCAUUAAGAGAAGAGGUUUCAUGCCUGAUGCAUCUGUGUUCAUUCAAAUUUCAGCCCUGCCUCUUACUGUCUUUGGCAUGUUUGGGUAAGUCGCUUAACAUCUCUGAGCCUCAACACCUCUUCUGGAAAUUAGAGAUGAUGAUAAUAAUAAUACUUAUUGCUUAUAUAUUGCUGUGAGUAUUUCAUGAGAUAAUGUAUGUCAUAGUCUUAAUCAGUGUCUGGCACAUAAAAUAUGGGGA